rfam:Gemmatimonadetes bacterium RIFCSPLOWO2_12_FTLL_68_9 rifcsplowo2_12_scaffold_24691, whole genome shotgun sequence.
GGGGGUGACUGGUUUCGACGGGUCUGGUGAGGAUUUCGCAGCGCGCCCAGGUCCCCGGGUCCUGGUAAAAGAACUGGGAAAAGACACAACUGCCAAUUCUGAUCUGGCACUGGCUGCGUAAGCGUUAGCUUCACGCACCUGCUCCCGCGGCGGCCCGCCUGAGGCGGCCCGGGAGUAUCGACAAGUCGGGCUGGUGCGGCACGUCGCGUCCGCGCGUCGCACGAGAUUUCAACGGAUGCUCGUCUGCCGGUCGGGCGGCUGUGCCCCAGCCGGUGGAGACACCAAGCGCAGCCUACGCGCGUAGAAGCGGAUUCGGAUCGAGGCUCGGACCGGGGUUCGAUUCCCCGCACCUCCACUG